GACCUGUUGGCACAGUUGGUAGUGUGCCCGCUGAAAUAUGCCCAGGCUAAAUGAGUCUUGGCAGGAGUCCCCAGUUCAACUCUGGGACAGGUCA